AUUGAACGCUGGCGGCAGGCCUAACACAUGCAAGUCGAGCGGAUGACGGGAGCUUGCUCCUUGAUUCAGCGGCGGACGGGUGAGUAAUGCCUAGGAAUCUGCCUGAUAGUGGGGGACAACGUUUCGAAAGGAACGCUAAUACCGCCUACGUCCUACGGGAGAAAGCAGGGGACCUUCGGGCCUUGCGCUAUCAGAUGAGCCUAGGUCGGAUUAGCUAGUUGGUGAGGUAAAGGUUCACCAAGGCGACGAUCCGUAACUGGUCUGAGAGGAUGAUCAGUCACACUGGAACUGAGACACGGUCCAGACUCCGACGGGAGGCAGCAGUGGGGAAUAUUGGACAAUGGGCGAAAGCCUGAUCCAGCCAUGCCGCGUGUGUGAAGAAGGUCUUCGGAUUGUAAAGCACUUUAAGUUGGGAGGAAGGGCAGUAAGUUAAUACCUUGCUGUUUUGACGUUACCAACAGAAUAAGCACCGGCUAACUUCGUGCCAGCCGCCGCCGUAAGAC
rnacentral:rRNA from 1 species